rnacentral:tRNA from 1 species
GCGGAGGUUGUCGAGCUUGGUCAAAGGCACCAGAUUCAGGGUCUGGUCCCGUAGGGGUUCGGGAGUUCAAAUCUCCCCCUCCGCA